UACAGAGGUCCCAAGCGUUGUUCGGAUUCAUUGGGCGUAAAGGGUGCGUAGGUGGCGCCGUAAGUCGGGUGUGAAAUUUCGGAGCUUAACUCCGAAACUGCAUUCGAUACUGCGGUGCUUGAGGACUGGAGAGGAGACUGGAAUUCAUGGUGUAGCAGUGAAAUGCGUAGAGAUCAUGAGGAAGACCAGUGGCGAAGGCGGGUCUCUGGGCAGUAACUGACGCUGAGGAGCGAAAGCGUGGGGAGCGAACAGG
rnacentral:rRNA from 1 species